CUCUGCAUGGUGCUGUGCUGAACUCUGUGGCUGUACUCUGAAAGUCAGCUUGGAGCUUUUUUCACCAUAAUCCACUGCACAAUGCAGCUAUCACCUUGUCCCAGCAUUCAGGUGUUUUUCUCAUUGGAAUAUUCUUUGUUAUUCAGAAAUGCCAUUUGGAAAUGAGUUUCUCUGAUCUUUCUUCUUACUGGGACAUGAUGGAACAAUGAAAAGUGAACUUCAAGAUUUUUGGGAUAUGAGCAUAAGAGUUUGAAGUUGUUUUGUACAAAGGCUUUUGAAGGAACCAGUGUGUGAUUUUUUUUAAUUAGUAAAUAUUAUUAUUUAUUCUAACUUUGAUCAAGAACAGUAUUUCCAAAUGGGGCAAAUUGAUUAU